rnacentral:sRNA from 1 species
GACAACCUCUCCGCGAUGACUGUGAGUGGUCCAGGGACCCCCGAGCCCCGGCCGGCCACCCCCGGGGCCAGCUCAGUAGAGCAGCUGCGGAAGGAGGGCAAUGAGCUGUUCAAAUGUGGAGACUACGGGGGCGCUCUGGCGGCCUACACUCAGGCCCUGGGUCUGGACGCGACGCCCCAGGACCAGGCCAUUCUGCACCGGAACCGGGCCGCCUGCCACCUCAAGCUGGAAGAUUACGACAAAGCAGAAACAGAGGCAUCCAAAGGUAGGGGAAUGGUGGGCCCUGGUGUGGAGCUGUAGGGCUUCUGUGGUGGGCAAGGACUCUGGGACCGCUGCACCGUCACAUUCUCCUCCUUUGGCCCCAGAGACACAUCUGCCUUCUUUCUUUCCCACUGCCUCGGGCCUUUCCUUUUCUGCAGCUACCCUCACCUUUUCUGAGGCUGAAGCACCGAGCCCCACAUUCGUCCCCCCCACCUUCUUCUGGCCUUUCCUCGAGAUCUUUCCCUACUGCUCUUGCCUGGAGACAGUGGCCUCAUGGGUGCUGACAGCGCUCCUGUUUGUGCUCAGCCAUUGAAAAGGAUGGUGGGGAUGUCAAAGCACUCUACCGGCGGAGCCAAGCCCUAGAGAAGCUGGGCCGCCUGGACCAGGCUGUCCUUGACCUGCAGAGAUGUGUGAGCUUGGAGCCCAAGAACAAAGUUUUCCAGGAGGCCUUGCGGAACAUCGGGGGCCAGAUUCAGGAGAAGGUGCGAUACAUGUCCUCGACGGAUGCCAAAGUGGAACAGAUGUUUCAGAUACUGUUGGACCCAGAAGAGAAGGGCACUGAGAAAAAGCAAAAGGCUUCUCAGAACCUGGUGGUGCUGGCCAGGGAGGAUGCUGGAGCAGAGAAGAUCUUCCGGAGUAAUGGGGUUCAGCUCUUGCAAUGUUUACUGGACACGGGAGAGACUGACCUCAUGCUGGCGGCUCUGCGUACGCUGGUUGGCAUUUGCUCUGAGCAUCAGUCACGGGUAGGUGGAGUGGAGAGGCUGGUUACAGCUUCAGUCCCUUUGUCUGUCUGUCCAUCCGUUCCUCCAUCCACCCAUCUGUCCAUCUGCCCAUCUGCCCGUCCAUCCGUCCAUCCACUCUUCCACCCUCUACCCUUACCUUAUUCUAAAAAGAACUUAGGUAGGUCAUGGUGCCUCACACCUGUAAUCCCAGCACUUUGUGGGGCUGAGGCAGGUGGAUCACUUGAGGUCAGGAGUUCAAGACCAGCCUGGCCAACAAGGCGAAACCCUGUCUCUACUAAAAAUAAAAAAAAAUUAGCCGGGCAUGGUAGUGCGCGCCUGUAAUCCCAGCUCCUCAGGAGGCUGAGGCACGAGACUUGCUUGAACCCAGGAGGUGGAGGUUGUAGUGAGCUGAGAUCGCGCCACUGCACUCCAGGCUGGGUGACAGAGCGAGACUAUCUCAGAAACAAAACAAAACAAAACGACAAAAAAAGAAAAGGCAGAGUACAAGGAGAUACAUGUAACAAG